UGCGGGGGGCGACGCGAUGCGUGACGCCCAGGCAGACGUGCCCUCGGCCUAAUGGCUUCGGGCGCAACUUGCGUUCAAAGACUCGAUGGUUCACGGGAUUCUGCAAUUCACACCAAGUAUCGCAUUUCGCUACGUUCUUCAUCGAUGCGAGAGCCGAGAUAUCCGUUGCCGAGAGUCGUUUGUGUUUCAAAAGAAGCACAAGUCCCCCGCGCGCACCGCGAACGGGGCGCGAGAGGCAGGCUUUCAAUUUAGUAUUCCUUGGCGCUUUCCGCGCCGGGGUUCGUUAAUCACCCGUCACGCACGCGAGCGAGCGCGCCGGGGAUAGGGAGGGAGCCGCGCGGACGGAGGCCGAAGCGCCCCGGCCGCACCGCUCCCCGGUUUUUAAACAAGUUCGCGGGUCGUUCUGCUUUGCAGGUUUCGACAAUGAUCCUUCCGCAGGUUCACCUACGGAAACCUUGUUACGACUUCUCCUUCCUCUAAAUGAUAAGGUUCAAUGGACUUCUCGCGACGUCGCGGGCAGCGAACCGCCCACGUCGCCGCGAUCCGAACAUUUCACCGGAUCAUUCAAUCGGUAGGAGCGACGGGCGGUGUGUA
rnacentral:lncRNA from 1 species